rnacentral:tRNA from 1 species
GCCCAAUUGGUUGAGCGUCCAACUCUUGAUUUUGGCUCAGGUCAUGAUCUCGUGGUUUGUGAGUUCAAACCCCGCAUUAGGCU